rnacentral:rRNA from 1 species
AGGGUUUGAUUCUGGCUCAGAUUGAACGCUGGCGGCAGGCCUAACACAUGCAAGUCGAGCGGAAACGGCAAUAAAGAUUCUUCGGAUGAUUUAUUGGACGUCGAGCGGCGGACGGGUGAGUAAUGCUUAGGAAUUUGCCCAGUCGAGGGGGAUAACUAUUGGAAACGAUAGCUAAUACCGCAUACGCCCUACGGGGGAAAGAGGGGGACCUUCGGGCCUCUUGCGAUUGGAUAAGCCUAAGUGAGAUUAGCUAGUUGGUGAGGUAAUGGCUCACCAAGGCGACGAUCUCUAGCUGGUCUGAGAGGAUGAUCAGCCACACUGGAACUGAGACACGGUCCAGACUCCUACGGGAGGCAGCAGUGGGGAAUAUUGCACAAUGGGCGCAAGCCUGAUGCAGCCAUGCCGCGUGUGUGAAGAAGGCCUUCGGGUUGUAAAGCACUUUCAGUCGUGAGGAAGGGUAUAUCGUUAAUAUCGGUAUGCCUUGACGUUAGCGACAGAAGAAGCACCGGCUAACUCCGUGCCAGCAGCCGCGGUAAUACGGAGGGUGCGAGCGUUAAUCGGAAUUACUGGGCGUAAAGCGCAUGCAGGUGGUUUGUUAAGUCAGAUGUGAAAGCCCCAGGCUCAACCUGGGAAGGUCAUUUGAAACUGGCAAACUAGAGUACUGUAGAGGGGGGUAGAAUUUCAGGUGUAGCGGUGAAAUGCGUAGAGAUCUGAAGGAAUACCAGUGGCGAAGGCGGCCCCCUGGACAGAUACUGACACUCAGAUGCGAAAGCGUGGGGAGCAAACAGGAUUAGAUACCCUGGUAGUCCACGCCGUAAACGAUGUCUACUUGGAGGUUGUGGCCUUGAGCCGUGGCUUUCGGAGCUAACGCGUUAAGUAGACCGCCUGGGGAGUACGGUCGCAAGAUUAAAACUCAAUGAAUUGACGGGGGGCCCGCACAAGCGGUGGAGCAUGUGGUUUA